rnacentral:rRNA from 1 species
CAGUCGCCGCGGUAAUACGUAGGUCCCGAGCGUUGUCCGGAUUUAUUGGGCGUAAAGCGAGCGCAGGCGGUUAGAUAAGUCUGAAGUUAAAGGCUGUGGCUUAACCAUAGUACGCUUUGGAAACUGUUUAACUUGAGUGCAAGAGGGGAGAGUGGAAUUCCAUGUGUAGCGGUGAAAUGCGUUGAUAUAUGGAGGAACACCGGUGGCGAAAGCGGCUCUCUGGCUUGUAACUGACGCUGAGGCUCGAAAGCGUGGGGAGCAAACAGGAUUAGAUACCCCAGUAGUCCCUGUCUCUUAUACA